rnacentral:rRNA from 1 species
CCUACGGGAGGCAGCAGUAGGGAAUUUUGCGCAAUGGGCGAAAGCCUGACGCAGCAACGCCGCGUGAUCGAGACGCCCUUCGGGGUGGAAAGCUCUGUCAGUGGGGACGAAACUUGACGGUACCCACAGAGGAAGCACCGGCUAACUCCGUGCCAGCAGCCGCGGUAAUACGGAGGGUGCGAGCGUUAAUCGGAAUUACUGGGCGUAAAGCGUUCGUAGGCGGUAUGUCAAGUCAAGGGUGAAAUCCCCGCGCUCAACGUGGGAACUGCCUUUGAAACUGGCAAACUGGAGUGUGUGAGAGGAUAGUGGAAUUCCAGGUGUAGGAGUGAAAUCCGUAGAUAUCUGGAGGAACAUCAGUGGCGAAGGCGACUAUCUGGCACAUAACUGACGCUGAGGAGCGAAAGCGUGGGUAGCAAACAGGAUUAGAUACCCGUGUAGUC